rnacentral:rRNA from 1 species
GAUAUUUUUUUCUCGCUUUGUAGAGACUGGCGCACUGGAGUGCGUAACGCGUGAGCAACCUACCCAUAUCAGGGGGAUAGCCUCUCGAAAGAGAGAUUAACACCGCUUAACAUCAUUAACCGGCAUCGGAUUGUGAUCAAAUAUUUAUAGGAUAUGGAUGGGCUCGCGUGACAUUAGCUAGUUGGAGAGGUAACGGCUCACCAAGGCUACGAUGUCUAGGGGCUCUGAGAGGAGAAUCCCCCACACUGGUACUGAGACACGGACCAGACUCCUACGGGAGGCAGCAUUAAGGAAUAUUGGUCAAUGGAGGCAACUCUGAACCAGCCAUGCCGCGUGCAGGAUGACUGCCCUAUGGGUUGUAAACUGCUUUUGUCAAGGAAUAAACCUUUCUACGUGUAGAAAGCUGAAUGUACCUGAAGAAUAAGGAUCGGCUAACUCCGUGCCAGCAGCCGCGGUAAUACGGAGGAUCCAAGCGUUAUCCGGAUUUAUUGGGUUUAAAGGGUGCGUAGGCGGUCCUAUAAGUCAGUGGUGAAAGACGGCAGCUUAACUGUCGCAGUGCCUUUGAUACUGUAGGACUUGAAUCUAUUUGAAGUGGGCGGAAUAAGACAAGUAGCGGUGAAAUGCAUAGAUAUGUCUUAGAACUCCGAUUGCGAAGGCAGCUCACUAGUUAGUAUUGACGAUGAUGCACGAAAGCGUGGGGAUCAAACAGGAUUAGAUACCCUGGUAGUCCACGCCAUAAACGAUGAUAACUCGAUGUUUGCGAUACACAGUAAGCGUCCAAGCGAAAGCGUUAAGUUAUCCACCUGGGGAGUACGGUCGCAAGAUUGAAACUCAAAGGAAUUGACGGGGGCCCGCACAAGCGGAGGAGCAUGUGGUUUAAUUCGAUGAUACGCGAGGAACCUUACCCGGGCUUGAAAGUUAGUGAAUGAUCCAGAGACGGAUCAGUCCUUCGGGACACGAAAAUAGGUGCUGCAUGGCUGUCGUCAGCUCGUGCCGUGAGGUGUUGGGUUAAGUCCCGCAACGAGCGCAACCCCUAUGUUUAGUUGCCAGCACAUAAUGGUGGGGACUUUAAACAGACUGCCAGCGUAAGCUGUGAGGAAGGUGGGGAAGACGUCAAGUCAUCAUGGCCCUUACGUCCGGGGCUACACACGUGGUACAAUGGACGGUACAGCGGGCAGCUACAUAGCAAUAUGAUGGUAAUUUUUAAAAGCCGUUCACAGUUCGGAUUGAGGUUUGCAACUUGACCUCAUGAAGUUGGAUACGCUAGUAAUUCGCGAUCAGCAAU